rnacentral:rRNA from 1 species
CGAGUGAACCGGGAANAGCUCAAAUUUGAAAUCUGGCGUGCUCAGUGCGUCCGAGUUGUAAUCUAUAGAGGCGUUUUCCGUGCCGGACUGUGUCUAAGUCCCUUGGAACAGGGUAUCAAAGAGGGUGAUAAUCCCGUACUUGACACAAUGACCGGUGCUCUGUGAUACGUCUUCUACGAGUCGAGUUGUUUGGGAAUGCAGCUCAAAAUGGGUGGUGAGUUCCAUCUAAAGCUAAAUAUUGGCGAGAGACCGAUAGCGAACAAGUACCGUGAGGGAAAGAUGAAAAGCACUUUGGAAAGAGAGUUAAACAGUACGUGAAAUUGUUGAAAGGGAAACGAUUGAAGUCAGUCGUGACUGAGAGGCUCAGCCGGUUCUGCCGGUGUAUUCCCCUCAGUCGGGUCAACAUCAGUUUUGUUCGGUGGAUAAGGGCAGCUGGAAGGUGGCACCUCCGGGUGUGUUAUAGCCAGCUGUCGCAUACAUCGAAUGAGACUGAGGAAUGCAGCUCGCCUUUAUGGCCGGGGUUCGCCCACGUCCGAGCUUAGGAUGUUGACAUAAUGGCUUUAAACGACCCGUCUUGAAACACG